CCUUCUCACGUAAGUUUCUUCAAAUCGCCAUCUCUCUUCUUUCCCAUUUUAAUUUCAUCUUCCAUACACGCUCAUUAUUCACAUUCAUCUUCCACCGCUUUCUCUCUCAUCUUAUUUCUCUAUGUUCUCUCAAUUGACCUCAUUCUGCUUUCAUCGUUCAAUAGGAAACCCUAGCAUUACACACUACACAUCAGAUCCUCUUCGUUCAUCCUAUUGAAAUUGACUGAUAAUUCUUUUGGGUCGACAAUUCCCUAUCUUCAAGAUUUGGAAUCAAGUGAUGGAGUCGCAGAUUAUUGACAGCUAGGAUUGCUUCUGUUACGUUGACUAUCGUAAUUUCCACUUAGCGUCAUUACACAAACAACAACAACAAGCCCUAAGGCUAUCAUCUGGUUUUUUUCAUUACUUACGGAUUGAGUUUAAUCUUAGGAUUUUGUGGGUUUCUGCGUAUUGGAUCUUUUUACUGCUCCCACGCACAAAUGUCGUCUCCAUCAAGGUGAUUUUGUAUGGGGCUGAUCAAAGAGAGUUUAUCGCAUCUGGAAAACCUCUACUUUCAUAGGGCUAAGCAACCAUACGCUCUCCUUUUGUCCCAAUCUUUGCUUUAUCGUAAACUACAGAAUAAUAUUGGGAGCUUGCUGAACGGGAUGCAGUCACUGGAGUCUUGCGUGCGUGGUGUGGAAUCAAAACUCGAUGAAAUUUUGUUUGACUUGGCAAAGUCAAUUAGAUGGGUGUCACAAGUUACCGGGUGUAGAUCUUUUUAGCUCUACACUCUGGAUGAAAUUAGAACAAGGAGCUUGAAUCUUCAAACCGCUCGAUUCCAUCUUCGUAUCGGGCUAAUUAAGAACCCCUUGACAGAGUCAUUUGGGGCUUUAUUGUGAUAUCUUGGAUGAAGUCAGAACUUUGAUCGUGUAUGGUGAUCAAACAAGGCUUCCACAAGCUUUGACCAACUUUUGAUCACUACAACCAUGAGGAAAUGUUCACAUAUGCAAUACCUAAUUAUUAUGUCUAUUGUCAAGAGCCGAAGAUCUUGAACAUCUAUGUUAAAGGGAAUUUAAAAUUGAAAUGCUCUUGCUUGGCUCAUUCACAACUGGUGCCAUUUUGUUGGUAGUUAUUUUUUGCCUUCAUGUUCCUUGUGAAGAAUUUUAAAACUAGCAUGAAACAUGAUCAAUAUCUACAGGAUGGACUCUCAGAGAUUAUAUAUUCAGGGCUAUGUUUGAUCCGUAACCAAGUCACUAAUAAACGGGUUAUGUUUAAUAUGGUUACUCUCAUCAGUAUUCUUGAAGUUGGAUGACGCUUUGAGAAAUGAGUUUUGCCCAGAAAAAGUUACCAUACACAUCUCCUAAUUCAAAUCACCAGUAAUAUUAAAAGUUAACUCCUUUUUUUACUAUUUUCUUUUAUACCAAGGGCUACUCUUGAUUAAUUUAUGCAUUAGGAACUUUUUUUUGUCGUUCUGGUUAAUAUAAUCCUACAAGUUGCAAAUUGGACGGGCUGCGUACUGGGUCAAAACAGAUUGGGAAAUGACUUUUGCUGUUUGAGAUUUAGUUAAGCAAUCGCUUUGUUCAUACUUUAAGAAUAUAUUAUCUUUUUCCACUUUGAAAAUAAAAAGAGUAAAGGAGUGAAAGUUGAUCUAAAUGUUAAUUAGAGAAAGCUUGAAUUGUUCAAUUUUAAUAAACUGAUAAAUUUAUUUUGGUUUUUAUUUGAACCUAUAACAAUAGAGUUUGAAGAACAAUGGACUAAUUGCAAAGUAGAUGGAUGGAAGGAUAAGGCUCAAGAAAAUGAAUAUGUUCGUGAGCAAAAUACACCAGUUGAUCUAGACGAUUAUGGCAGAGUUGAUGAAUUGGUUGAACCUGGUACUAAAUAUCUAAAUGAGAAUAUGGUUACACAAUGAACAUAACAGAAAAGAGUGACGUCUAUAGUUACAGAGUGGUGUUACUAGAGAUCUUAAGUGGACGUAGUGCGGUCGAGAAUCGGGUCAGGGGGUUUCACAUAUAGUCGAGUGGGUCAAAAAGAAAAUGGUUAGUUUUGAGCCCGCGGUCACCAUACUAGACGCCAAGUUUCAAGGGAUUCCGGAUCAAAUGGUCCAAGAAAUGCUACUAACGCUUGGGAUCGCGAUGCUUUGUGUGAAUUCUUCACCCCCGCAGAGACCUAGAAAGAAAGAAGUGGUUGCAUUGUUGAUGGAAGUUAAAGAGUUCACCUGCAGAAUGGGGGAAAACUUCACAACUAAUGAAGCAAUCAUCUACUCAUAGCUAUUUAAUGUCAGCCGUAUUAUUGAAGAAGACUUUUGAACUGAUCCGUUUCAACAUGUAGAGUUUUAAGAGGUUGGUUCUAAGUAAGUGUAUAAACAAGGCUUUUAACGACUUUUGGUGUAUAUAACAGUAAUUAACGUAGGACAAACAAUACGUGUAACACAACUAAUGUGGUUUUUAAGGAGAUUUUCAACGAAUUAUGAUCAUUGCAUAUUCAUGUA